GUAGGUGAACCUGCGGAAGGAUCAUUAACACGUAUCCAACGUUAAACAACCCUGCGAACCUUGAACGUGCUCUCGUACACGCUCUAGCAGCAAUCCCUGGUAAAUCAUUGUUGACCAGCUAUUGGGUGUGGGACUUCUGCUAGAAAACCAUACGAUACGAGCGCCAGAGUAAGUGCGGCCUGGCAUCCUAGCAAUCUGUCAGUGUUUGCGCAAGGAUGGCGCAGUAAACGAUCGCUGUAGGCCCACACGGCCGGCGACUGGGCCUCUGUGCUUACAAACUCGAACAACUGUUAACAAUGGAUAUCUUGGUUCUU
rnacentral:misc_RNA from 1 species